rnacentral:rRNA from 1 species
AGUUUGAUCCUGGCUCAGGAUGAACGCUGGCGGCGUGCUUAACACAUGCAAGUCGAGCGAUGAAGUUUCCUUCGGGAAACGGAUUAGCGGCGGACGGGUGAGUAACACGUGGGUAACCUGCCUCAUAGAGUGGAAUAGCCUUCCGAAAGGAAGAUUAAUACCGCAUAACGUUGAAAGAUGGCAUCAUCAUUCAACCAAAGGAGCAAUCCGCUAUGAGAUGGACCCGCGGCGCAUUAGCUAGUUGGUGGGGUAACGGCCUACCAAGGCGACGAUGCGUAGCCGACCUGAGAGGGUGAUCGGCCACAUUGGGACUGAGACACGGCCCAGACUCCUACGGGAGGCAGCAGUGGGGAAUAUUGCACAAUGGGGGAAACCCUGAUGCAGCAACGCCGCGUGAGUGAUGAAGGUUUUCGGAUCGUAAAGCUCUGUCUUUGGGGAAGAUAAUGACGGUACCCAAGGAGGAAGCCACGGCUAACUACGUGCCAGCAGCCGCGGUAAUACGUAGGUGGCGAGCGUUAUCCGGAUUUACUGGGCGUAAAGGGAGCGUAGGCGGAUGAUUAAGUGGGAUGUGAAAUACCCGGGCUCAACUUGGGUGCUGCA